rnacentral:rRNA from 1 species
CANCNUGAUGCAGCGACGCCGCGUGAGGGAUGACGGCCUUCGGGUUGUAAACCUCUUUCAGUAGGGAAGAAGCGUAAGUGACGGUACCUGCAGAAGAAGCGCCGGCUAACUACGUGCCAGCAGCCGCGGUAAUACGUAGGGCGCAAGCGUUAUCCGGAAUUAUUGGGCGUAAAGAGCUCGUAGGCGGUUUGUCGCGUCUGCCGUGAAAGUCCGGGGCUCAACUCCGGAUCUGCGGUGGGUACGGGCAGACUAGAGUGAUGUAGGGGAGACUGGAAUUCCUGGUGUAGCGGUGAAAUGCGCAGAUAUCAGGAGGAACACCGAUGGCGAAGGCAGGUCUCUGGGCAUUAACUGACGCUGAGGAGCGAAAGCAUGGGGAGCGAACAGGAUUAGAUACC